rfam:Lysinibacillus xylanilyticus strain DSM 23493 Scaffold6, whole genome shotgun sequence.
UAUAGAGGAACGAAAGCUAAGAGCAUCACGUCAUGUGAUAACGCCUUCGUGACCAACAUCCUGUUGC